GGCGGCAUGCCUUACACAUGCAAGUCGAACGGCAGCACGGGAGCUUGCUCCUGGAGGCGAGUGGCGAACGGGUGAGUAAUAUAUCGGAACGUGCCCUAGAGUGGGGGAUAACUAGUCGAAAGAUUAGCUAAUACCGCAUACGAUCUAAGGAUGAAAGUGGGGGAUCGCAAGACCUCAUGCUCGUGGAGCGGCCGAUAUCUGAUUAGCUAGUUGGUGAGGUAAAGGCUCACCAAGGCGACGAUCAGUAGCUGGUCUGAGAGGACGACCAGCCACACUGGAACUGAGACACGGUCCAGACUCCUACGGGAGGCAGCAGUGGGGAAUUUUGGACAAUGGGCGCAAGCCUGAUCCAGCAAUGCCGCGUGAGUGAAGAAGGCCUUCGGGUUGUAAAGCUCUUUUGUCAGGGAAGAAACGGUUCUGGUUAAUACCCGGGGCUAAUGACGGUACCUGAAGAAUAAGCACCGGCUAACUACGUGCCAGCAGCCGCGGUAAUACGUAGGGUGCAAGCGUUAAUCGGAAUUACUGGGCGUAAAGCGUGCGCAGGCGGUUGUACAAGACAGAUGUGAAAUCCCCGGGCUUAACCUGGGAAUUGCAUUUGUGACUGUACGGCUAGAGUGUGUCAGA
rnacentral:rRNA from 1 species